AUUGAACGCUGGCGGAAUGCUUUACACAUGCAAGUCGAACGGCAGCACGGACUUCGGUCUGGUGGCGAGUGGCGAACGGGUGAGUAAUGUAUCGGAACGUGCCCAGUCGUGGGGGAUAACGUAGUGAAAAUUACGCUAAUACCGCAUACGAUCUAUGGAUGAAAGCGGGGGAUCGCAAGCCCUCGCGCGAUUGGAGCGGCCAAUAUCAGAGUAGGUAGUUGGUGGGGUAAAGGCCCACCAAGCCAACGAUCUGUAGCUGGUCUGAGAGGACGACCAGCCACACGGGAACUGAGACACGGUCCAGACUCCUACGGGAGGCAGCAGUGGGGAAUUUUGGACAAUGGGCGAAAGCCUGAUCCAGCCAUUCCGCGUGCAGGAUGAAGGCCCUCGGGUUGUAAACUGCUUUUGUACAGAACGAAAAGGUUUCUACUAAUACUAGGAGCUCAUGACGGUACUGUAAGAAUAAGCACCGGCUAACUACGUGCCAGCAGCCGCCGUAA
rnacentral:rRNA from 1 species